rnacentral:lncRNA from 1 species
GUAAACGUGAAACAAAGUAUGUUACAGGCCCCAAUGUCUCUCUGGAAAGAAUUCCUUACUCUAAGCUCAUCAACUUUAUUAUCCAAAUAGUGAACAAUAGCGUGUUAUAUACUCGGAAGCGGUGGGUGGUGUGCGUGCCUCCUAAGUCGAACCAGCAGGCCGCCUCGAGUGCCUCUCCUCCGCCGGCGAUGUUUUUGGGUCGGCCUCUGGAAUAAGUUCAAUUGCUCUGGGGAGAGUGAACAAAGAAUCUGCUCCAGGGAAGUCGUAUUCCUGGUCGUAAUGCUGGUAGUUCUGAAGUGUGUGUUCGGGGGGCAGCCGAUGGUGUGUGUGUGUGUGGGUCAUGUUGUUCAGGCUGUGAGCUCUGUCCACAUGUCCUGAGGUUGUUGUUUUGGGCUGUUGGACAGCUGGGGACAGCUGAGGACCGAUGGGGACAGCUGGGGACCGAUGGGGACAGCUGAGGACAGCUGCAGACAGCUGGGUGAACAGUGGGAGUCUGAUACCGUGCCUCGCAAACUCUCAUGCUAACUCCUGGACACAGACACACACACAAACACAGACAUGAACUCACACACACACAGACAUGCACUCAGACAUGCACACACAGACACGAACACACACACAGACACACACACCAACACAUGCACACUUAUUUAGUUGAGGCUUGAUGGGUUUAGUUUGGUUUAGUGAACUGAGCCUCAGAACUAGCUGGCUGAGGGGACUCUUCUUUUGUUGACAUCUGUCACGGUUGUGUGGAGAGAAGGCACAGCGUGCUCUGAGUUCCACAUAUUUUAUUUAGUGAAACUUACAAAACAAAAGGAAACAAACAACUAACCGUAACAUCAGAGGUGCUACAUGCACUAACUCAAAACAAG